rnacentral:tRNA from 1 species
GGCGGGGUAGCUCAGUUGGUUAGAGCAACGGAAUCAUAAUCCGUGUGUCGAGGGUUCAAUUCCCCCCCCCGCUA